AUAGACAAAAUGUGCUUGUGGAAGGGAAGCUUGGGUGCUUUCGAGUUUCAUUUUUAGAUAUUCCAAGGUUUUAGUUGUUCUAUAAUUAACCUGUUUUCAGAGCAAUGUGAAGAGAGAUCCUUCUAAUGGAUGGGCCCGAAUUCCAGCUCUAGGAGACAAAAAUGCUGCGUAGUUGGUGCUGUAUAUAUGCAUCAUGCAUGAUGCAUCAUGGAUAUUCAUGAAUUAGCUUGUGUGCUUAUACUCUGAUUCGAACCCCAGGUGCAGCCAGCAGCCGUUUGAGCAUUUUUACGUAACACAAUACUGGUAUAUACUUCAUCCGUCCCAAAUUACUAUUCAUUUUAGCUUUCCUAGAUACACAUCUUUUGAUAUGCACCUAGAUACACACCUUUUGAUAUGCACCCAGAUAUAUAGGUACAUCUAUGUCUAGAUACAUAGCAAAAGUGAUAUAUCUGGAAAAGCCAAAACAAAUAGUAAUUUGACGGGGGGAGUAGUAUAUAUAAGAUCUAAUCGUCUAUUAUUAUGGAUAAUUUAGUUAUUGUACAAUGUGACAUUUCAGAUGAAAUAUGGUCUUCUAGACUUUACGUUAGUGCCAAAAAACAUUCAUAUAUAUUAUCCAUACCACAGGUGAAGUUUUCAGUAGUAUACAAUUAAUCUUAACCGUUUAAUAUUUUUAUAAUAGUCCUUUUCGAACAUAGUUUAUCGUAAAUUCUUUUUCGCCGCAUUGCACGUUGGGGCAGCGACUCCUACAGUCCUACCACGUUGGGGCAGCGACCAACAAAUGCUGAGUUGCUCUGGGAACUCUUGCUCUCACGACUUUGUUCCCGUCAGAGUCCAGCUCGAACGUGAUUAUUACGUACACGCACGAACCAUCCGUAUGCGAAGGGGCUACAUUGGGAUAUCAUUUCACCACGUACGUGACGAGCCACACCCUGAGGUUCCCGGCGGUGCCCCCUGCCGGCGCGUCGUUAGUUCGCGGCGCUGGCCACCCUGGGGGGUAAUAAUAUAUGCAGGCUCGGGUGGACGGCUCGGUACUGGAAGGCAUCGUGAUUUCAGUCUCC
rnacentral:lncRNA from 1 species